rnacentral:rRNA from 1 species
AACGAACGCUGGCGGCAUGCCUAACACAUGCAAGUCGAACGAGACCUUCGGGUCUAGUGGCGCACGGGUGCGUAACGCGUGGGAACCUGCCCUUAGGUUCGGAAUAACUCCCCGAAAGGGGUGCUAAUACCGGAUAAUGUCUUCGGACCAACGAUUUAUCGCCUUUGGAUGGGCCCGCGUUGGAUUAGCUAGUUGGUAGGGUAAAAGCCUACCAAGGCGACGAUCCAUAGCUGGUCUGAGAGGAUGAUCAGCCACACUGGGACUGAGACACGGCCCAGACUCAUACGGGAGGGAGCAGUGGGGAAUAUUGGACACUGGGCGAAAGACUGAUCCAGCAAUGCCGCGUGAGUGAUGAAGGCCUUAGGGUUGUAAAGCUCUUUUACCCGGGAUGAUAAUGACAGUACCGGGAGAAUAAGCUCCGGCUAACUCCGUG